UUAGUGGCGGACGGGUGAGUAACGCGUGGGCAACCUGCCUUACACAGGGGGAGUAACACUUAGAAAUAGGUGCUAAAACCGCAUAAGCGCACAGCUUCGCAUGAAGCGGUGUGAAAAACUCCGGUGGUGUAAGAUGGACCCGCGUCUGAUUAGCUUGUUGGCGGGGUAACGGCCCACCAAGGCGACGAUCAGUAGCCGGCCUGAGAGGGCGGACGGCCACAUUGGGACUGAGACACGGCCCAGACUCCUACGGAAGGCAGCAG
rnacentral:rRNA from 1 species